rnacentral:lncRNA from 1 species
UAACCCACUGUGCAGGGCUGGGGAUCGAACCUGCAUCCCAGAGCUCUCAAAAUGCCGCCUAUCCUGUUGCACCACAGCAGGAACUCCUUUUCUUCAUUGUCUUUCUUCCUUUCUUUCUUUUUCUUUCCUUCCUUCCAUCCUUUUUAUCUUUCUUUCCUUCCUCCCUCCCUCUUUCUUUCUCCCUUGUUCUUUCUUUCCCUCUCUCUCUUUUUAAAAGGGCUUCUGAAAGAGGCGAUAACAGGGCUCAGUAAGGCUGGCCUUCCAGUCCAGAUCCCAGGUGGACAUCGAGAGAACUUCCCAGAGUAGACCCACCAGCCCAAGCCCCCAUCUUGCAGGGAACCCCAUGGAGACGGAGGUCUAGCCUCAGCCCCCAACACCCAUCGCGUGGCUCUGAGCACGUCCCUCUUCCCUCCGUGGGAGCAAAUGGAAAGUGGGUCCCCACCAGGAGCAGGUGGGCCUUUCUGGGAUGUGGACCCCUGCAGGGGGAAGGCAGAGAAAACACAGGAUCCACGUCCUUUGUACUGGAGGGGACCCCCCUUCUAAGUGCCAAGAGCGCCUCGUAAAGGGAUGAGUGGGGUUGAAACUGGGGGUGUCCAGAAGCCAAGAUAGACCCUCUGACUCACCUGGGCUGUGACCACAACCAGCAGAAGCCUGAGAGCUGGGGGCUAAAAGCAGCUGGGGCCCCAGAGACCAGGUCACCCAGAAACACAUCUAACAUCUGGGAGGAGACCCAAGAAAGGGUAACUGUGGUGCCCUCCAGGGAGGAGAAGUGCAUGGCUGGGGACAGCCUGCAGAGAAGGGGGAGGGCUUCUUUUUUUUCAACCAGAUAUUAGCUAAAUGGGAGAAAAAUUAAACAAAUAUAUAUGUGAGCUGAACAAAAAUCUCUGUGUCUAGGCCUUUUGAGCCUCUAAGAUUGUGAGGUCCUUCUAAGACUAGGAUUCUCAGGUAGUUAGCAAAGAUGAGGGGCGAUUUGCCGCCGGGUUUGAACCCUGGCUGCACCCAUUGCUGUGAGUUAACCUCUUGGACCCCCAGUUUCCACAUCUGGAAUCAGAGACAAGGAUACCUUCUUCCCUUGGAACAUUUUAAGAUUGAAUGAGAUAAAGUACAUCAAGUGUCCCCCCAGGGUCUGGGACAUCUUUGUCUAAACAAAGCGACUGAUGAAUACGCCAGAGCCUAGAGGAUUCUCCAGGCUGAGUCCAAGCCAGGGAGUUUCCAGAUUUCCAGAGAGGGGGCUGGAGGGCCCUGGGAAGCCACUGUGGACAGAAGGCCAGUGGGGAGAGAGGGAGGGAGAGGGAUACUGCUGCUGUGGCUGGUGCUCUGGCGCCCCCUCCUGGACACUGUCCUCCCCACACCCCUGGGAGAACCAGAGGCUUCACUUUGGUCAAAAAUCUCCCAUUACUUGGGGUUUAAAAAAAAAGGGACCAGGAGUUCCCAUUGUGACUCAACGGUAAUGAACCCAACUAGUAUCCAUCAGGAUGCGGGUUCAAUCCCUGGCCUUGCUCAGUGGGUUAAGGAUCAGGCAUUGCCAUGAGCUGUGUGGUGUAGGUCGCAGACGCGGCUCUGAUGUGGCAUAGGGUGGCAGUUACAGCUUCAAUUUGAUCCCUAGCCAGGGAACCUCCAUAUGCUGCAGGUGUGGCCGUAAAAAAAAAAAAAAAAAAGACCAAGGCUGGGGACAGGGUGGGAAGUACAUUGACUGCUUUGGGGCCCCCAACCCAACACACGGCACUUGGCAAAAUUCUGCAGCUCUUGGAGCUCCCCCUGGGGCACAGCGGGAUUGGUGUUGU